rnacentral:rRNA from 1 species
AGAGUUUGAUCCUGGCUCAGGACGAACGCUGGCGGCACGCUUAAAACAUGCAAGUCGAACGUGAAGCCCGGGCUUGCCCGGGUGGAAAGUGGCGAACGGGUGCGUAACACGUGAGCAACCUGCCCCGAAGACCGGGAUAACACCGGGAAACCGGUGCUAAUACCGGAUGUCUUCACCAUGUCGCAUGGCGAGGUGAAGAAAUGGAUUCCGCUUCGGGAUGGGCUCACGGCCUAUCAGCUUGUUGGUGGGGUAACGGCCUACCAAGGCAACGACGGGUAGCUGGUCUGAGAGGAUGUCCAGCCACACUGGGACUGAGACACGGCCCAGACUCCUACGGGAGGCAGCAGUUAGGAAUCUUGCGCAAUGGGCGAAAGCCUGACGCAGCGAUGCCGCGUGCGGGAUGAAGGCCCUCGGGUCGUAAACCGCUUUCAGCAGGGACGAUAGUGACGGUACCUGCAGAAGAAGCCCCGGCCAACUACGUGCCAGCAGCCGCGGUAAUACGUAGGGGGCGAGCGUUGUCCGGAUUUAUUGGGCGUAAAGAGCUCGUAGGCGGUUUGGUAAGUCGGGUGUGAAAUCUCCACGCUCAACGUGGAGGGGCCACUCGAUACUGCCAUGACUCGAGUCCGGUAGAGGAGUGUGGAAUUCCCGGUGUAGCGGUGAAAUGCGCAGAUAUCGGGAGGAACACCCGUAGCGAAGGCGGCACUCUGGGCCGGAACUGACGCUGAGGAGCGAAAGCGUGGGGAGCAAACAGGAUUAGAUACCCUUGUAGUCC